GAUGAACGCUGGCGGCGUGCCUAAUACAUGCAAGUCGAGCGAACGGACGAGAAGCUUGCUUCUCUGAUGUUAGCGGCGGACGGGUGAGUAACACGUGGAUAACCUACCUAUAAGACUGGGAUAACUUCGGGAAACCGUAGCUAAUACCGGAUAAUAUUUUGAACCGCAUGGUUCAAAAGUGAAAGACGGUCUUGCUGUCACUUAUAGAUGGACCCGCGCUGCAUUAGCUAGUUGGUAAGGUAACGGCUUACCAAGGCAACGAUGCAUAGCCGACCUGAGAGGGUGAUCGGCCACACUGGAACUGAGACACGGUCCAGACUCCUACGGGAGGCAGCAGUAGGGAAUCUUACGCAAUGGGCGAAAGCCUGACGGAGCGACGCCGCGUGAGUGAUGAAGGUCUUCGGAUCGUAAAACUCUGUUAUUAGGGAAGAACAUAUGUGUAAGUAACUGUGCACAUCGUGACGGUACCUAAUCAGAAAGCCACGGCUAACUACGUG
rnacentral:rRNA from 1 species